UACGUAGGGGGCAAGCGUUGUCCGGAAUUAUUGGGCGUAAAGAGCGCGUAGGCGGUCCGAUAAGUCGGCUGUGAAAGUCAUGGGCUCAACCCAUGAAAGCCGGCCGAUACUGUCGGACUAGAGUCCGGAAGAGGCAAGUGGAAUUCCCGGUGUAGCGGUGAAAUGCGUAGAUAUCGAGAGGAACACCUGCGGCGAAGGCGGGUUGCUGGGCUGACACUGACGCUGAUGCGCGAAAGCUAGGGGAGCGAACGGG
rnacentral:rRNA from 1 species